GGGGGCGAAAUGGAUUCGACGGCGGAUGCAAAGUCUCAGGUGCAUGCCGAGAGAGAAACAGCUCUCGUAAAUCAAUUGUUUCACUUUAAAUUAGUUGCCAACGACGACAACUACGCUCUAGCGGCUUAGAUAGCACGCUAGUCCUGUCCAUUCGAAUGCCCGUAUAGGGUGGACGGGAUCAUACUUACGGGAUCGCCACGGAAGAUGGUCCGAUCAUCCGGCGGCUAAAACUGAGGACUCGCUCAACGGAAUCCAGUCCUGCCGGGUCGCUGAUGGGUUAAAUCAAAGGCAAGAAUAAGCAUGUAGAGCCGAGGAUGGAGUACUGUCGGACGCGGGUUCGAUUCCCGCCGCCUCCACCA
rnacentral:tmRNA from 1 species